UUGAACGCUGGCGGCAUGCCUAACACAUGCAAGUCGAACGGCAGCACAGUAGAGCUUGCUCUAUGGGUGGCGAGUGGCGGACGGGUGAGUAAUGCAUCGGGAUCUACCCAAACGUGGGGGAUAACGUAGGGAAACUUACGCUAAUACCGCAUACGUCCUAUGGGAGAAAGCGGGGGAUCGCAAGACCUCGCGCGGUUGGACGAACCGAUGUGCGAUUAGCUAGUUGGUAGGGUAAUGGCCUACCAAGGCGACGAUCGCUAGCUGGUCUGAGAGGAUGAUCAGCCACACUGGAACUGAGACACGGUCCAGACUCCUACGGGAGGCAGCAGUGGGGAAUAUUGGACAAUGGGCGCAAGCCUGAUCCAGCAAUGCCGCGUGUGUGAAGAAGGCCUUCGGGUUGUAAAGCACUUUUAUCAGGAGCGAAAUGCCAUUGGUUAAUACCCGGUGGAGCUGACGGUACCUGAGGAAUAAGCACCGGCUAACUUCGUGCCAGCAGCCGCGGUAAUACGAAGGGUGCAAGCGUUAAUCGGAAUUACUGGGCGUAAAGCGUGCGUAGGCGGUGAUUUAAGUCUGCUGUGAAAUCCCCGGGCUCAACCUGGGAAUGGCAGUGGAUACUGGAUCGCUAGAGUGUGAUAGAGGAUGGUGGAAUUCCCGGUGUAGCGGUGAAAUGCGUAGAGAUCGGGAGGAACAUCAGUGGCGAAGGCGGCCAUCUGGAUCAACACUGACGCUGAGGCACGAAAGCGUGGGGAGCAAACAGGAUUAGAUACCCUGGUAGUCCACGCCCUAAACGAUGCGAACUGGAUGUUGGUCUCAACUCGGAGAUCAGUGUCGAAGCUAACGCGUUAAGUUCGCCGCCUGGGGAGUACGGUCGCAAGACUGAAACUCAAAGGAAUUGACGGGGGCCCGCACAAGCGGUGGAGUAUGUGGUUUAAUUCGAUGCAACGCGAAGAACCUUACCUGGCCUUGACAUGUCUGGAAUCCUGCAGAGAUGCGGGAGUGCCUUCGGGAAUCAGAACACAGGUGCUGCAUGGCUGUCGUCAGCUCGUGUCGUGAGAUGUUGGGUUAAGUCCCGCAACGAGCGCAACCCUUGUCCUUAGUUGCCAGCACGUAAUGGUGGGAACUCUAAGGAGACUGCCGGUGACAAACCGGAGGAAGGUGGGGAUGACGUCAAGUCCUCAUGGCCCUUAUGGCCAGGGCUACACACGUACUACAAUGGUCGGUACAGACCGGGCGCAAUACCCGCGAGGUGGAGCUAAUCCAGAAAAGCCGAUCCUCAGUUCGGAUUGGAAGUCUGCAACUCGACUCCAGUGAAGUCUGGAAUCGCUAGUAAUCGCAGAUCAGCUACGCUGCGGUGAAUACGUUCCCGGGCCUUGUACACACCGCCCGUCACAUCACAUGGAGUGGGCUGCCUAGAAGCCGUUCCGUCUAACCCGCAAGGGAGGCAGCCGUCCAAGGUAGUGGCUCAUGAUUGGGGUG
rnacentral:rRNA from 1 species